AGUACAACCUUGCGCGCCAUUGUGAUCGUGUGUCUCGUCACGCAGCGUUGAUUUUAACAAGUUUACGAACUUGCUAAACAUUCGAUGUUAAAAACUAUUAGUAAAUAAAAAUAUAAUGAGUGUUAGUUUAAAUAAUAGAAUAAGAUGGAAUAAUUUAUAAAAUUUAUAAAUAAUAUGACGAUAUUUAAAAAAUUUAAAUAGCCUUUAAAAUUAAUAUAGUGCGAAAAGCGUGUAGAUUAAUUAGUAAGGAUGAAUGUUUUUGAAGUAUGCACGUAGUUUAAUUCUUUAUGUACAAACACAUCAUUUGAUAUAAUUGCAAAUAUUACAUAAAUAUAAAAAAAAAUCUACAAAAAUCAAUAAAUGACAUCACUAAAAUCCGUAAAAUGACAUCACUAUCGUUCGCGUGUGAUAAAUAAAAUUUUUAAACUCUGAACUAACGAUGUCUUCUGUUGUGUCUCUCGAUGGACGGGAUAAGCCGAACGCAUUGAAACGUUUAACCGCUGCUUGUGUUAGGGCAUCGUGUUCCCAGCUCGGCUUAGUCGUACUUGUGGUAUUGUAUGUGCUACUUGGUGCUGCGCUGUUUGAAUACUUGGAGUCGGGACCGGAGGUUCAGAAACGCUCAGCCAUUCAACGGUCGAGAGAGGAAUGCUUGAAAGAGCUUUGGGCGAUCACAG
rnacentral:misc_RNA from 1 species